rnacentral:rRNA from 1 species
CCUACGGGUGGCACCAGUGGGGAAUAUUGCACAAUGGAGGGAACUCUGAUGCAGCGACGCCGCGUGAGCGAUGAAGGCCUUCGGGUCGUAAAGCUCUGUCCUAUGGGACGAUAAUGACGGUACCAUAGGAGGAAGCCCCGGCUAACUACGUGCCAGCAGCCGCGGUAAUACGUAGGGGGCGAGCGUUGUCCGGAAUUACUGGGCGUAAAGGGUACGCAGGCGGUCAUGUAAGUCAGAUGUGAAAUCCUAAGGCUUAACCUUAGUAAGCAUUUGAAACUGCGUGGCUUGAGUUAAGGAGAGGAAAGUGGAAUUCCUGGUGUAGCGGUGAAAUGCGUAGAUAUCAGGAGGAAUACCAGUGGCGAAGGCGACUUUCUGGCCUUAAACUGACGCUGAGGUACGAAAGCGUGGGGAGCAAACAGGAUUAGAUACCCUAGUAGUC